rnacentral:rRNA from 1 species
AUUGAACGCUGGCGGCAGGCCUAACACAUGCAAGUCGAGCGGAGCGGCGGACGGGUGAGUAAUGCCUAGGAAUCUGCCUGGUAGUGGGGGAUAACGUCCGGAAACGGGCGCUAAUACCGCAUCCUAUCAGAUGAGCCUAGGUCGGGUUAGCUAGUUGGUGGGGUAAAGGCCGACCAAGGCGACGAUCCCUAACUGUUCUGAGAGGAUGAUCAGUCACACGGGAACUGAGACACGGUCCAGACUCCUACGGGAGGCAGCAGUGGGGAAUAUUGGACAAUGGGCGAAAGCCUGAUGCAGCCAUGCCGCGUGUGUGAAGAAGGUCUUCGGAUGGUAAAGCACUUUAAGUUAGGAGGCGUUACCAACAGAAUAAGCACCGGCUAACUUCGUGCCAGCAGCCGCGGUAAUUC